rnacentral:rRNA from 1 species
UUUAACAUGAGAGUUUGAUCCUGGCUCAGGAUGAACGCUGGCGGCGUGCUUAACACAUGCAAGUCGAACGGACUUUA